rnacentral:tRNA from 1 species
GGAGGGCUAGACCUAACGGUAAGGCAGCGGUCUUGAAAACCGCCGGGCGCAAGCCCUUGGGGGUUCGAAUCCCUCGCCCUCCGCCA